UACGGAGGAGCUAGCGUUGUUCGGAAUGACUGGGCGUAAAGGGCGCGUAGGCGGAUGGCACAGUCAGAUGUGAAAUUCCCGGGCUUAACCUGGGGGCUGCAUUUGAUACGUGUUGUCUUGAGUUCGGAAGAGGGUCGUGGAAUUCCAGUGUAGAGGUGAAAUUCGUAGAUAUUGGGAAGAACACCGGUGGCGAAGGCGGCGACCUGGUCCGACACUGACGCUGAGGCGCGAAAGCGUGGGGAGCAAACAGG
rnacentral:rRNA from 1 species